AUCGUAACUCCUACGGGAGGCAGCAGUGGGGAAUUUUGGGCAAUGGGGGCAACCCUGAUCCAGCAAUGCCGCGUGAGUGAAGAAGGCCUUCGGGUUGUAAAGUUCUUUCGGUAUUGAGGAAGGUUGAUGUGAUAAUAGCACAUCAAAUUGACGUUAAAUACAGAAGAAGCACCGGCUAACUCCGUGCCAGCAGCCGCGGUAAUACGGAGGGUGCGAGCGUUAAUCGGAAUAACUGGGCGUAAAGGGCACGCAGGCGGUUAUUUAAGUGAGGUGUGGAAGCCCCGGGCUUAACCUGGGAAUUGCAUUUCAGACUGGGUAACUAGAGUACUUUAGGGAGGGGUAGAAUUCCACGUGUAGCGGUGAAAUGCGUAGAGAUGUGGAGGAAUACCGAAGGCGAAGGCAGCCCCUUGGGAAUGUACUGACGCUCAUGCGCGAAAGCGUGGGGAGCAAACAGGAUUAGAAACCCUGGUAGUCCUAGAGC
rnacentral:rRNA from 1 species